CUGCACUUCCAAAACCUGGAAUUUUCCUCCUGGGCUGGGAAAACUUCCUUGGAAGUUGCUGAGUGCUGAGACCCUCCAGAAAUCCCAGAAAAAAGGGAUGAGCCAAAGGAAAAUCCUGGAUUUUGGGAGUCCAUGGCUGCAGAAGUGUCUGGAUGAAUUCCAUGCUAAAAGGGUGGGAAUUCAGCAGCACAGGCUGGGAAUUCCCAAGGAUUUCAGGGCAGGGAUGAUCCCCUCUGGAUUUUCCAGUUCUGGGCUGUCUGAUCCAAUUCCCUGAGUUUGCCAAUGGACCCAGUGUCAUUCCCAAGUUUCUUUUUCCCUGAGUGCCAUUCCCAAGUUUCACCUUCCCUGACUCUUCCCAAUGGACCCAGUGCCAUUCCCAAGUUUUUCAUUCCCUGAGUUUCCCCAUGGAUCCAGUGCCAUUCCCAAUUUUUGUCCCACCUAUCCACUGCCUUUCCCAAGUUUCUCAUUCCCUGAGUUUCCCAGUGGAUCCAGAGCCAUUCCCAGGUUUCUCCUCCUCUGAUUGUUCCCCAUGGAUCAGGUACCAUUCCCAAGUUUCUCUGAGUUUCCUCUCAGAUCCAUUGCCAUUCCCAAGUUUUUCCCCAUGGAUCCAGUGCCAUUCCCAAGGUUUUCUCCAUGGAUCCAGUGCCAUUCCCAAGUUUCUCUGAGUUUCCCAAUAGAUCCAGUGCCUUUCCCAAGUUUCUCAUUCCCUGACUUUUCCCUAUGUAUUUGGUGCAAUUUCCCAAAUUUCUCAUUCCCUGAGUUUCCCCAGGAAUCCAGUGCUAUUCCCAAGUUUCUCCCUCUCUUUCACCCACAGAUCUGGUGCCAUUCCCAAGUUUCUUGUUCCCUGAGUUUCCCAGUGGAUCCAGUGCCAUUCUCAGGUUUUGUCCCAUGGGUUUGGUGCCAUUCUCAAAUUUCUCAUUCCCUGUGUUUCCCCCCAUGGAUGGAGCAGAGCUGCAAGCCAGAAACGUGCUGGGAAAUCACCCCAGUGAGGCAAAACACCCCAAAUCCUUCACUGUAGGUGCUGGAGGUCUGAGCAGCAGUGCAGCUCCUGGGAAGCUGUUCCACAACAUUGCCAACCCUUUUACAAACAAAACUGACAGUGCUAUUCCCAAGUUUCUCCUUGACUUUUUCCCAUGGAUCCUGUGCCAUUCCCAAGUUUCUCAUUCCCUGUGUUUUCCUGUGCUAGCUAUUCCCAAGUUUCUUUAUUUUCCUUUGUGUCAUUCCCAAGUUUCUACAUCCAUGAGUGCCAUUCCCAAGUUUCUCCUUCCCAAGUUUUUCCCCACAGAUCCAGUGCCAUUCCCAAAUUUCUCAUUCCCAAAUUUUUCCUCCCAGAUCCAGCAUCAUUCCCAAAUUUCCCAAGUUUUCCCUGACUUUUCCCCAUGGAUCCAGUGCCAUUCCUAAGUUUUUAAUUUUUCUGUGUCUCAUUCCCAAGUUUCUCAUUCCCAAGUUUUUCCCCAUGGAUCCUGUGCCAUUCCCAAAUUUCAUCCCAAGUUUUUCCCCACAGAUCCAGUGCCAUUCCCAAAUUUCUCAUUCCCAAAUUUUUCCUCCCAGAUCCAGCAUCAUUCCCAAAUUUCCCAAGUUUUCCCUGACUUUUCCCCAUGGAUCCAGUGCCAUUCCUAAGUUUUUAAUUUUUCUGUGUCUCAUUCCCAAGUUUCUCAUUCCCAAGUUUUUCCCCAUGGAUCCAUUGCCAUUCCCAAGUUUCUCACUUUCACUUUUCCUUCUGCCUUGGCCACUUUCACUUUCACCUUCUGCUCCUGGCCUGGCACGUGCCAGGAUUUGGGAAUUUUUUUUCUGGGAAUUUUUUUUCCUUAGGAUCUGGACACAUCUUCCCUAAAUCCAGAAGGGAGGUGCAGCCAUUUGGGCUCAGUUUCCUCUCAUUAAUUUCUUGAUUUUUUA
rnacentral:lncRNA from 12 species